CCCUUAGAUGUUCUGGGCCGCACGCGCGCUACACUGAUGCAUUCAACGAGUUUAUAACCUUGACCGAGAGGUCUGGGUAAUCUUUUAAACGUGCAUCGUGAUAGGGAUAGAUUAUUGCAAUUAUUAAUCUUGAACGAGGAAUUCCUAGUAAACGCAGUUCAUCAGACUGCAUUGAUUACGUCCCUGCCCUUUGUACACACCGCCCGUCGCACCUACCGAUUGAAUGGUCCGGUGAAACUUCGGGACUGAGCGAUUGUUGCUUCAUUGUGACUUUUGCUUGGAAACUUAUUUAAACCUUAUCAUUUAGAGGAAGGUGAAGUCGUANCA
rnacentral:rRNA from 1 species